CGACACGGUGACGUGGGGCGGAUCCCUGAAAACCGGUCUCAGUUCGGAUCGCAGUCUGCAACUCGACUGCGUGAAGGUGGAGUCGCUAGUAAUCGCGGAUCAGCAUGCCGCGGUGAAUACGUUCCCGGGCCUUGUACACACCGCCCGUCACACCAUGGAAGUCUGCAAUGCCCGAAGCCGGUGGCCUAACCACUUAUGUGGAAGGAGCCGUCUAAGGCAGGGCAGAUGACUGGGGUGAAGUCGUAACAAGGUACC
rnacentral:rRNA from 1 species